GGGUUGCCUCUGUUUCUAGGUCUAUCCCUGAAUUCACGGCGAAACCGCG
rnacentral:rRNA from 16 species